UACGGAGGGAGCUAGCGUUAUUCGGAAUUACUGGGCGUAAAGCGCACGUAGGCGGCUUUGUAAGUAAGAGGUGAAAGCCCAGAGCUCAACUCUGGAAUUGCCUUUUAGACUGCAUCGCUUGAAUCAUGGAGAGGUCGGUGGAAUUCCGAGUGUAGAGGUGAAAUUCGUAGAUAUUCGGAAGAACACCAGUGGCGAAGGCGGCUGACUGGACAUGUAUUGACGCUGAGGUGCGAAAGCGUGGGGAGCAAACAGG
rnacentral:rRNA from 1 species